UUGUUGGUAAGGUAAAAGCUUACCAAGGCUUCGAUCAGUAGCUGGUCUGAGAGGACGACCAGCCACACUGGGACUGAGACACGGCCCAGACUCCUACGGGAGGCAGCAGUGGGGAAUUUUGGACAAUGGGGGCAACCCUGAUCCAGCCAUGCCGCGUGAGUGAAGAAGGCCUUCGGGUUGUAAAGCUCUUUCAGCCGGAACGAAACGGUUACGGAUAACACCCGUGACUACUGACGGUACCGGAAGAAGAAGCACCGGCUAACUACGUGCCAGCAGCCGCGGUAAUACGUAGGGUGCGAGCGUUAAUCGGAAUUACUGGGCGUAAAGCGUGCGCAGGUGGUUUUGUAAGUCAGAUGUGAAAGCCCCGGGCUCAACCUGGGAACUGCGUUUGAAACUACAAGACUAGAGUGUGGCAGAGGGGGGUGGAGUUCCGCGUGUAGCAGUGAAAUGCGUAGAGAUGUGGAGGAACACCGAUGGCGAAGGCAGCCCCCUGGGUCAACACUGACGCUCAGGCACGAAAGCAUGGGGAGCAAACAGGAUUAGAUACCCUGGUAGUCCAUGCCCUAAACGAUGUCAACUAGUUGUCGGGCCUUUACGGGCUUGGUAACGUAGCUAACGCGUGAAGUUGACCGCCUGGGGAGUACGAUCGCAAGAUUAAAACUCAAAUGAAUUGACGGGGACCCGCACAAGCGGUGGAUUAUGUGGAUUAAUUCGAUGCAACGCGAAAAACCUUACCUACCCUUGACAUGUAUCGAAGCCCGCAGAAAAGCGGGGGUGCCCGAAAGGGAACGAUAACACAGGUGCUGCAUGGCUGUCGUCAGCUCGUGUCGUGAGAUGUUGGGUUAAGUCCCGCAACGAGCGCAACCCUUGUCAUUAAUUGCCAUCAUUUAGUUGGGCACUUUAAUGAGACUGCCGG
rnacentral:rRNA from 1 species